CUCUGUUUUUAGGUGGUGAGUCAAGAACACUUUACAAUGGUAGUCUUUGUGCUGAUGUAAACUUUCAAGGAAACCAGUGGAUCACCCAAGGAAGAGUGGAAAGACUGCAGGAGUCUCCAUGCCCUGUCACUGGGGAAUACGCAGGCUACAUCCCGGAUGCUACAGGACUGUGUGCAAAAUUAUCAUCAGAUUGCAAAUCCCCAGAGAUUAUGUAUUACUCUGUUUCUGACUGCUCUGGCACCGAUAUAUACGAAGGACGAGAAUAUCGAUGUCUGGGACAGUGGGAAGAAAAUGGCCACAUGUAUACAUACACCCAGCGCAAAGAUGUGGGAACCUUCGAAUGUUUUGUGGGAUCUAUAGCAUCUGAUGCUGAGAUAUCUAUAAAAGAGGCUGGAAGUCAUUGCCAACGAGAUGUGGACCCUCUUUUCUAUGGCAUGAAGCUUACCAGAUUAGGGCCAUGUUCUGGUAAUCAGCCAAGCACAGUCAGAUCUACGCAGCCACAUUACACAAUGCCAAGUAAUAAAUAUCUUCCUAGCCCAGAGCCAACUACACCUUGGAAGCCAAUCACAGCACCACCAAACAAUGGCAGCAACGACCAAAUCAGGCUGAAACCACCAAAAUUAGUAUUAUUAGUUCUAGGAAAAUUAUUCCUAUUUUUUUGCCACCGACUGUUCCUUAUGUGAAGAUUCAUUAUUAAAUUGUGAUACAUUCCUGUUAAUAAUAAAAACACAUAAAAUGAUUGAUACUGAAACUGUAAUAUUUAUAUAAUACUUUUUUUUUAAUAAAUUGAUUUUUGUAAUUUUUAAAA